AGAUAAGAGAGAUCGAACAGAUCUCAUGAUCAAUCACGUCGACCUGGAGUGCGUGAUGGAAGACAUCGAGAGGAUGAGCCGAGUGCAGAUUACCGUUCCAAAAACUCUCCCACCAAAUCUGAGAAAUCGUCACUGAACUAUAAAUCCAAGGAGAUGAAGGAGAUUUUCAGGCGUAUGGAUCCCCAGACACAAGACUUAAUCCGUUAUAUUGAUCUCCAACGCGAAAUGGACAACGAAAGACUUCUGAAAAAAAUAAAAAACUCGAAGAGGAGCAUCCUCUAGGACUUAAACAAAACAUUCAAAAUUGUGAAUGAAAUCGUUUUCGCGACAAAUUCCGAAGAUCGAGGCGGUAAUGAUUUAUCAGGGCGACAACUCAUGUCUGAGAUAUUCAAGGCUACCUUCCCAAUUCAAACUCACGAAGAUUUCUUAACUUUCGAGAGAUCGUUAUCGUCUACGAAUUAAGGAGAAAAAAAGCAUUGAUAAUUAUUAUAACUCACCACUAAUUACAAUUCUUCAUUAUAAGAUAAAAAGGGAGGCAAUGUUUUUUUUGUUGUUAGAGAAAAAUGUGAGUCUUGAAUUUUUCAGGUGAGUUCGUUUCGAGGAUGGGUUGGUUCGAAAGAUACAUGGAAUGAUUGUGUGAGGAAAUGCAUUAACAAUAUGCUCCAUAAAGAUGUUCAGAAAUUUUACAGUGGUCAGGGAAAACAGCCAGAAAAAACCCUUCGUCAAGACCUGCAAUUAUGAGUGCCUGAGAGAUUUUCUGUUGAGAAAAUUUCCCUCGAUUACGAUGGAUAUCAGUUCGUACAUUGGGAAUCACCUAUCCCAGGCUGGGGGAAAACAGAAAUAACUUUUAUCUCGAAGAAGAAUAGACAAGGAAGAGAGAGGAGGGCCAUAGAGGAGCGAUAGUUAUAGCGCAGUUAUUAUUGUUAUACUUACAUUGAUAAUUUUAUAAUGCACUGAG